ACGGGGUGCAGCAGGCGCGAAAACUUUACAAUGCGGGAAACCGUGAUAAGGGGACACCGAGUGCCAGCAUCAUAUGCUGGCUGUCCGGAUGUGUAAAAUACAUCCGUUAGCAAGGGCCGGGCAAGACCGGUGCCAGCCGCCGCGGUAACACCGGCGGCCCGAGUGGUGAUCGUGAUUAUUGGGUCUAAAGGGUCCGUAGCCGGUUUGGUCAGUCCUCCGGGAAAUCUGAUAGCUCAACUAUUAGGCUUUCGGGGGAUACUGCCAGACUUGGAACCGGGAGAGGUAAGAGAUACUACAGGGGUAGGAGUGAAAUCUUGUAAUCCCUGUGGGACCACCUGUGGCGAAGGCGUCUUACCAGAACGGGUUCGACGGUGAGGGACGAAAGCUGGGGGCACGAACCGGAUUAGAUACCCGGGUAGUCCCAGCCGUAAACGAUGCUCGCUAGGUGUCAGGCAUGGCGCGACCGUGUCUGGUGCCGCAGGGAAGCCGUGAAGCGAGCCACCUGGGAAGUACGGCCGCAAGGCUGAAACUUAAAGGAAUUGGCGGGGGAGCAC
rnacentral:rRNA from 1 species